rnacentral:rRNA from 1 species
AUGAGUAGACCGCGGAAAGUCUCUCGCAAGGAUGUUCCCCUAGUUUCUUCAGUCGAGAGCGCUGAUUCUUUGAGAGACCCUUAUGUGCCUAAUGAUUUUGCUGAUGAUGGUUCUAAUGCUAUGUCUUUGGGAGUUAUUAUUUGUCUUCUUAUCUUCUUUCCAUUUCCAUUUUCAUUUUCUUUUAUAUUUUUAUAUUUUUUUAUUAAUUUUUGUUAUUGUUUUUUGAUAUUUUUUUCCUUUUGCAGGGUUGUUCUGGUGAUGAUGAAGAGUUUGAUAAAGCACUUUACAAUUUCUAUCUGA